rnacentral:rRNA from 1 species
AUUGAACGCUGGCGGCAGGCUUAACACAUGCAAGUCGAGCGAGCGGCGGACGGGUGAGUAAUGUCUGGGAAACUGCCUGAUGGAGGGGGAUAACUACUGGAAACGGUAGCUAAUACCGCAUACCAUCAGAUGUGCCCAGAUGGGAUUAGCUAGUAGGUGGGGUAAUGGCUCACCUAGGCGACGAUCCCUAGCUGGUCUGAGAGGGUGACCAGCCACACUGGAACUGAGACACGGUCCAGACUCCUACGGGAGGCAGCAGUGGGGAAUAGUCCGCAAUGGGCGAAAGCCUGACGGAGCAAUGCCGCGUGAGUGAUGAAGGCCUUCGGAUUGUAAAGUUCUGUCAGUAGGGAAGCGGUACCUAAACAGAAAGCCCCGGCUAACUCCGUGCCAGCAGCCGCGGUAAUAC